UACCCAGGCUCGAACCGUCCCCGUAUGGGGUGCUUGCCAAGCAAUCGCUUGGAUAGGUCUGGGGAAGCG
rnacentral:sRNA from 12 species